UACGAAGGGGGCUAGCGUUGUUCGGAAUUACUGGGCGUAAAGAGCGUGUAGGCGGUCCGGUAAGUCCGCUGUGAAAGUCGGGGGCUCAACCCUCGAAUGCCGGUGGAUACUGUCGGGCUAGAGUGCGGAAGAGGCGAGUGGAAUUCCUGGUGUAGCGGUGAAAUGCGCAGAUAUCAGGAGGAACACCGGUGGCGAAGGCGGGUCUCUGGGCCGAUACUGACGCUGAGGAGCGAAAGCGUGGGGAGCGAACAGG
rnacentral:rRNA from 1 species